rnacentral:rRNA from 1 species
AUUGAACGCUGGCGGCAUGCCUUACACAUGCAAGUCGAACGGCAGCAUGGAGAGCUUGCUCUCUGAUGGCGAGUGGCGAACGGGUGAGUAAUGCAUCGGAACGUACCGUGUAAUGGGGGAUAACGUAGCGAAAGUUACGCUAAUACCGCAUACGACCUGAGGGUGAAAGCAGGGGAUCGCAAGACCUUGCGUUAUACGAGCGGCCGAUGUCAGAUUAGCUAGUUGGUGAGGUAAAGGCUCACCAAGGCGACGAUCUGUAGCGGGUCUGAGAGGAUGAUCCGCCAGACUGGGACUGAGACACGGCCCAGACUCCUACGGGAGGCAGCAGUGGGGAAGUUUGGACAAUGGGGGCAACCCUGAUCCAGCCAUGCCGCGUGAGUGAAGAAGGCCUUCGGGUUGUAAAGCUCUUUCGGCAGGGAAGAAAUCGCACAGGCUAAUACUCUGUGUGGAUGACGGUACCGGCAUAAGAAGCACCGGCUAACUACGUGCCAGCCGCCGCAGUAA